UACAGGCAUCAGCCAGACCCGGGAACUUCACUGCAAGACCCCCUGUCUUCACUAACUUCACUGCAGGUGUCCUAUGGAUUAACCACUGCAUGGCUUCACCAACUUCUCUGCAUCCUACAAGUAACUCCUGCAUGGGGCCAAUUCUGCGGAGGCCAGAAAAAGAGACCGAUUCCAAUCAAAGAAGACGUCACCUUUGAUUCACCCUGAGAAGUCGCUCUAUCCAGACAGCAUAGAGGCAACUCAUUCUCUACAACCAGGAGAUUGGGUAGUGGUGAAACGACACGUGCGAAAAGUCCUAAAACCACGCUUUGAGGGUCCACAUCAAGUACUGUUAACCACCGCCACUGCUGUCAAGUUGGAAGGAAAGCCUAAUUGGGUCCACGCAUCUCAUUGCAAAAAGUAUCAGAACCUCAAGUGCUG